GCAAGUCUAGCGCACCUUUCGGGGUGAGCGGCGGACGGGUUAGUAACGCGUGGGAACAUACCCUUUGGUACGGAAUAGCCUCUGGAAACGGAGAGUAAUACCGUAUGAGCCCUUCGGGGGAAAGAUUUAUCGCCAAAGGAUUGGCCCGCGUUAGAUUAGGUAGUUGGUGGGGUAAUGGCCUACCAAGCCUACGAUCUAUAGCUGGUUUUAGAGGAUGAUCAGCAACACUGGGACUGAGACACGGCCCAGACUCCUACGGGAGGCAGCAGUGGGGAAUCUUGGACAAUGGGGGCAACCCUGAUCCAGCCAUGCCGCGUGAGUGAUGAAGGCCUUAGGGUCGUAAAGCUCUUUCGCCUGUGAAGAUAAUGACGGUAGCAGGUAAAGAAACCCCGGCUAACUCCGUGCCAGCAGCCGCGGUAAUACG
rnacentral:rRNA from 1 species